GUGGAACCCUCCUUGCACUUCUGGGAUAAAGUCCCACUUGGUUAUGGUAUAUCAUCCUUUUAAUAUGUUGUUGAAUUUAAUUUGCUAUUAUUUUGUGAGGAUUUUUUACAUCUAUAUUUAUAAGGGAUAUUCGUUUGUAACUUUCUUUCCAUGUGGUGUCUUUAUCUGGUUUGGGUUAGGGUAAUAUGAGCCAUGUAGAAUGAAGUAGAAAAAUGUUCCUUCUAUUAUUUUGGGGAGCAGUUUGAGAAGGAUUAGUGUCAAUUCUUUAAGUAUUUGGCAGAGUUAGGGAUUGAACAUUGUGCUUUGUCACUGAGCUGCAUCCCCACCUUGCUAAGUUACCCAAGCUGCCCGAUUGCAGAGGUAUACCACUGCACCUGGCUCUUUACUUUUUUUUAAUAUUUAUUUAUUUAUGUAUCUUUUUAGUUUUAGUUUUAGGUGGAUACAUUAGUUUGUUUUUAUGUGGUGCCGAGGAUUGAACCCUGUGCCUCAUGCAUGCUAGGCGAGCACUCUACCACUGAGCCACCACUCCAGCCCCUGGCUCUUUACUUUUUAUAUCAAUCAAAUUUGUUGAUGUGCAAUUGUUCAUGGUCUCUUUUUUUUUUUUUGAGACAGACUCUCAUUAAGUUGCUUAGGGCCUCACAAAGUUGCUGAGGUUGGCUUUCAACUUGCAG
rnacentral:lncRNA from 1 species